GACGAACGCUGGCGGCGUGCUUAACACAUGCAAGUCGAACGGAAAGGCCCUGCUUUUGUGGGGUGCGCGAGUGGCGAACGGGUGAGUAACACGUGAGUAACCUGUCCUUGACAUCGGGAUAACUUCAGGAAACUGGGGCUAUUACCGGAUAUGAGCUCCUGCUGCAUGGUGGGGGUUGGAAAGUUUCGGCGGUUGGGGAUGGACUCGCGGUUUAUCAGCUUGUUGGUGGGGUAGUGGCUUACAAAGGCUUUGACGGGUAGCCGGCCUGAGAGGGUGACCGGCCCCAUUGGGACUGAGCUAGGGCCCAGAGUGCUACGGGGGGAAGCGGUGGGGAACCUUGCGCAAUGGGCGGAAGCCUGAUGCAGCAAUGCCGGGUGCGGGAUGACGGCCUUCGGGUUAUAAACCGGUUUCGCGUGUAACGCAGCGUGAGUGACGGUAAUGGGUAAGAAAGCACCGGCUAACUACGUG
rnacentral:rRNA from 1 species